UUUUUUUUUGGUUUUUGGCCGGGGCUAGGUUUGAACCCACCACCUCCGGCAUAUGGGACCGGCGCCCUACUCCUUGAGCUACAGGCACCACCCUCUUUCAUCUAUUUUAAGGCCAAGAGAAUUGAAUUGAGAAUUGAAUAAUGUAGAUUUCUUUGGAGAGCAGAAUUCAGAUCAAGGGUUGUAUCUCACGUUGCUUGUGAUGGGAUACAAAGAUGCAAUUCUGUUACUCUUUUCUCUUUUACUGUUGGGCGUAAACAUCUGUCCCAAGGUUAUAAUUGCAAGAAUGAAAAUAAUUCAGAAGAUGAAGAAAAGACAACUGCAGUUGGCAUUCCAGGGCAGAAGGCUCUAGUGUCUGUUUCUCCACUGAUUUGCUGGUCGAGAGAGGUAUAGAGGGAUUCCUCAGAAGCUGGAUAAUUUGGAUGGGCAAGGAGGUGAGUUGCUCACUGAAGGCACUAUCAGAGAACAUAGGAAGAUACAGUCUAUACUAAACACUCCGGAGCAGUGGAUUCCAAACUUCUGUCUGUAAGACACGGACAGUGAACCUGAAGAAUGAAAUGGAUAGCUGGGAGUGGGGACAUCAUUACUCUGUAAAACAGCAGUUCUCAACCUAUGGGUCACAACCCCUUUGGGGGGGGGGGGUCGAACGACUCUUUCACAGGGAUUGCCUAAAUACAUCCUGCAUAUCAGAUAUUUACAUUAUGAUUCGUAACAGUAGCAAAGAAAAUAAUUUUAUGGUUGGGAGUCACCACAACAUAAGGAACUAUAUUAAAGGGUCUUGGUAUUAGUAAGGUUGAGAACCACUGCAAAGUAUACAUAGGGCUGACACUUAGAGCCACACCUUUCUGUAUUUUAAAAGAAGUCCAGAAUUGGGAUUUAUUUUCUCCUUGUAUUACUCCCAACUUUUAAAAAAGCUAAUUCAAAGGAAAAACAAGUGUAGGGCAAUGGCUCUGUGGUGGUACUUUGUGGGCAGGCCUCUGGUCAUGAUCCCGGCCCCAAAGGAAAGGGGGUAUUCAAGGUCAUUCCACCCUAAUAGGGACUCUGCAGUCCUGGCCCAAAGUGCCUCAAGAUCUCACAGCCACACAAGGGCCCCCAAACAGAUGGGGUUAACCCAAAAUUAUGGUUCUACCAUCAUGGGUGCAGGACUUCUGAGGAGGUGUGAACAUAUCUUUGUAAAUGAAGAGGCUAGAGCUGUCCUUGACACACCAUGCAUGGCCAUUGGGGGUGGGUGGUGGGCUUCUGGGGGGAGUCUAUGAAGCUUCAUCCUCAUAAGCUCAGGUUUGGAACGAUCUUGAGGGCACAGCAGCCUGGAAUCCCCCAAGAGUUAUCUGUGCGUGCUGGUUUUCCCCAUAAGGAAGGUGGAGGCAAUGUGGAAAUGGGCAGCCAGAAAGCCAGAUCUUAGCUCCAGCUUGGCCAUUGCUGGCUGCCAGAUUUUGAGCAUCACACUUAACCUCUAGGGUUUGGAUCCCAGAGGCCGGGCUGAUUAUUUCAUCAAACAAAUGCCCAGUGAGCCCUGCUGGGAUGGUUGUGAGGGGAGGCAGGUAAAAGUGCCAUCUACCCAAGGACCUGGCACCAUCCUGCCCUAUUUGAAUGCUUGCUCAGCCUGUUACUGUGUGACUGUUUUUUUUGAGAUGGAGUCUCACUAUGUCGCCCUCGGUAGAGCACUGUGGCGUCACAGCUCAUGGCAACCUCAAACUCUUGGGCUUAAGCGAUUCUCUUGCCUCAGUCUCCCAAGUAGGUGGGACGACAGGCACCUGCCACAACGCCCAGCUAUUUUUUUUUGUUGUAGUUGUCAUUGUUUAGCACCUGGGCUGGGUUUGAACCCACCAGCACCAGUGUAUGUGGCUGGCGCCCUAACCAUUGGGCUCUGGACUCUGAGCUGACUCUGGGAGUUUUUUAAAAAUCAAUUUUAAGAGUUUAACAGAUACACAUGUACAACAUGUUUUAAAUACAGAUACACUGUGGAUUGGCUAAAUUGAGCUCAUUAACAUAAGCAUCACCUCAUGUACUUUUUGUAGUGAGAACACUUAAAAUCUACUCUUAGUGCAUAGUUCAGGGGUAUGCAAAUUUGUCCAGAUACCAUGAAAACAAGAUGAAGGUUCCUCAAAAAAUUAAAAUUAAAAAUUAAACCUAGAAGGCAGCACCCAUGUCUCAGUGAGUAGGGCGCUGGCCCCAUAUACUGGAGGUGGUGGGUUCAAACCCAGCCCUGGCCAAAAACUGCAAAAAAAAAAAAAAAAAAUUAAACCUAGAACUAACAUAUGAUCCAGCAAGCCCAGUACUGGGUAUACAUCCAAAGGACAUGGAACUAGUAUAUACAAAGAUAUUUGCACUCCCAUGUUCACACAGCAACAUUCACAACAGCCAAGAUAUAUAAUCCCCCUAGUUGUCCACGGAUGGGUGAUGAAGAGCUAGAGAACAUAUGGUGGUAUAUAUACACAGUGCAGUAUUAUUCAGCCUUAAGAUAAGGAAAUCCUGCCACUUGCAACAACAUGGAUGAACCUGGAGGACAUUACGCUAAAUGAAACGAGCCAGGCACAAAGACAAAUACCACAUGAUCUCACAUGUAGAAACUAAGAAAGACAAGCUCACAGAAGUGGAGAGUAGAAUGUUGAUUUUCAGGGACUGAGGUUGGUAGGGGUGGGAAGAUGUUGGUCAAAGAAUAUAAAAAUUUGAUUAGGCUGAACGACUAAAUUCAAGAGGUCAAUUGUACAAAAUGGUGACUAAUGCUAACAACAAGGUACUGUGUUCCUGAAACUCUCUAUAGCAGUGGCCUUUACUCUCUUGGGAUGUUACUUAACUCCUCUGUGUCUCAGUUUCCCCAUCUGUAAAAUGGGGAUAAUAAUAGUACCUACCUUCAUAGGUUUGUUAUGAGGCUUAAAUAACAAUACAUGAAAAGUACUCAGACUAAUGUUCUGGACGCAAUAAACAUUAGUCAUUUAGUAUCCGAACUAUAGCCAAAAUUCGUGUUACACUCAGUGCUGCCUUGGACAGAGGCUCCUGACCCAGACCCCUUGGGCCACUCUUAGUUGGUCUAUCCCCAGAAGCGGUUUCCAUCAGAGAAACCAGCCAAUGAUGCCUCUAUUUUCUAAGAAAAAAGAAAAUAAACCCUUAUUAGCUUAGCAGGGAACUGAGAGUCAUCUAAUUUAUUAAACUUUGUAAAAUCAGUAUUAAGAGAAGUAGCCCGACCCAAAUACUCUAUAAGAUAGAAGGUAAAUGUCCUUGCAGUUCUUUGCCUAUUGCUACUGAGAUGUUGCCAAUGUAGUGCUUGAAACACAGUAGGCCCAGGGGCUGAAGGCAUGCUGGUCCUUACCCCUGGCUCCUUCCUGGCCUACCAAUCCAGGGGUCAGGCAUGUGUUUGGGGGACUCUCGGCAUGGGAGUGGGAGGGGGGAGUGAUGGGGGCUGCAGGGAACCUGGUGCCCCAAGAAAAGCAAGUCCCACCAGGAUGGGGUAAGAAAUACUGAGACUCUGCCUCAGCAGCCAGCAGUGACUGCUGUGGGGGACUUCCUGCACCUCAUCUCAGCACUUGUGUCCUCCACCUCAGCGUGGAGUUCUGCACAGCAUUGUGGUUACUUUAGCAGUUUAUAAACGUGUGCCUCUUAAGAGGUGGCCUAGACACACUGAAGGGUGUCUAGUUACCUAGAAUUUUGGCUAUGCUGUGCAUUCCAGAGCUAGAUGGACCAGGCAAUCCAGGAAAUGGAAAAUUAACCACAGAGGAAUAACUAGUUGCUCUUUGGGAUCCACAAGGACACACUUCCUUUUUCCAUGUAGUAAAACUUCCUAUAGGAAAUGUCACACCCCCCAAAUUUUGAUUCAGAAGCACUGAUGUCUCUGAAAGCAAAUUAGUGAUUAAAACUAGAUUCUAAAAUUUGAGGCCAGAGGAGGAGCUCCAAAAUUCAGCUUACUAAGAAGGGGUGGUUUGUGUUUUACUGUGAAAUUUAAAUGCAAUGGAUCUUAGGCCAAGGCAGGAGUGAAGGGCAAGAAAAGUACAGAGACUUUGCAGGACAGGGAGGCAGCACUGCACCCUGGAAUGUCUCGCUAGCAGCCCGUCCCCGCAUGGAAGCAGACUGUGCUGGGCUAUACACACUGAGCUUGUUCACCAGUUGCUCUGCAUAGGAAGGGGAGCAGCUGGACAUGACCACAGAGGACAGUCGGAGCAGAUGCGCCUA